rnacentral:rRNA from 1 species
GAUAAACGCUAGCGGCAGGCUUAACACAUGUAAGUCGAGGGGCAGCAUAGAUUGUAGCAAUACAAUUGGUGGCGACCGGCGCACGGGUGCGUAACGCGUAUGCAACCUACCCGUCACAGGGGGAUAAUCCGGAGAAAUCUGGUCUAAUACCCCAUAACAUAUGGAUCGGCAUCGGUUCAUGUUGAAAUUUUCGGAGGUGACGGAUGGGCAUGCGUAGCAUUAGCUUGUUGGUGGGGUAACGGCUCACCAAGGCGACGAUGCUUAGGGGGACUGAGAGGUUUGCCCCCCACACUGGUACUGAGACACGGACCAGACUCCUACGGGAGGCAGCAGUGAGGAAUAUUGGUCAAUGGGCGCAAGCCUGAACCAGCCACGCCGCGUGCAGGAUGACGGCUCUAUGAGUUGUAAACUGCUUUUGUACGAGGGUAAAGUGGGUUACGUGUAACCUUUUGAAAGUAUCGUACGAAUAAGGAUCGGCUAACUCCGUGCCAGCCGCCGCAGUAC